GACGAACGCUGGCGGCGUGCCUAAUACAUGCAAGUUGAGCGCUGAAGGUUGGUACUUGUACCAACUGGAUGAGCAGCGAACGGGUGAGUAACGCGUGGGGAAUCUGCCUUUGAGCGGGGGACAACAUUUGGAAACGAAUGCUAAUACCGCAUAAAAACUUUAAACACAAGUUUUAAGUUUGAAAGAUGCAAUUACAUCACUCAAAGAUGAUCCCGCGUUGUAUUAGCUAGUUGGUGAGGUAAAGGCUCACCAAGGCGAUGAUACAUAGCCGACCUGAGAGGGUGAUCGGCCACAUUGGGACUGAGACACGGCCCAAACUCCUACGGGAGGCAGCAGUAGGGAAUCUUCGGCAAUAGACGAAAGUCUGACCGAGCAACGCCGCGUGAGUGAAGAAGGUUUUCGGAUCGUAAAACUCUGUUGGUAGAGAAGAACGUUGGUGGGAGUGGAAAGCUCAUCAAGUGACGGUGACUACCCAGAAAGGGACGGCUAACUACGUG
rnacentral:rRNA from 1 species